GGACACGCGCGGCAGCCGGCGCGGGGCGGCGGCUCCGGCGCAUGCGCGAGGGCGGGGCGGGGCGGGGGGGCGGCCACGCGGGGAGUGCGCCUGCGCCCGCCAAGCGUCACGAGGGGCGGUGACCAAACCCACGGCAGAGCUGGCAUCUCCCCAUGGCAAAAUGUGACGUCUUUGUUCAGCCUCCACCCUGCCCUGGCUUUAAACUGAGGUAAUGACUGGAAUCUGAAGCAGCUGACAAAUGAACACAUCCUGAGAUGGCAGUGGUGGCUUCUGUCAGCUGAGUACAGCAGAUGGCCAGCAUCAGCAGUGUCUUACAGUGAGGUGUGAUGUGUUGUUAAAAUUUAGAUGGUGAUUUUUAGAGAAAAAUAAAAUUUCUCUCAUUUAAAUAAUGGUUUAUAAU
rnacentral:lncRNA from 1 species